GUGCUUGCUCUGGGAGUACAUAUACUAAGAUUGGCACAAUACAGAGGUUACCAUGGCCCUACUCAAGGGUGACAUGUAAAUUCAUGAAUCAUUCCAUAUUUAA
rnacentral:snRNA from 1 species